UAUCUCUGCGUGUCAGCUAAGGACCAGCACUACGUUCAUCCCAGAGCCCUUCCUGGAAGCCCCUGCUAAUGUGUAAUUCCUGCCUCGACGUUCUUACUGCCCUGUCAUAUGGUAGGAGAAACUGUAAAGAAAUGCUGAUAAAAAGCCAAGGUCCCAGCAUAUUGAGCACACAAGCAGUUUUGUCCUGUAUUGACAGUGUUGUAGAAAUUUACAGGUAGUUUACUGCAGAAGGAUGAGGCUCUGAUGGAGCCAGAGAGAAAAGUGCCCAGAUGGAUCAACCUUUUUAAGAGCGGGGGUAAGCUGAAACCUCUUCAGAAGAAGAUGAAGCCAUAUUUGAAAUCCCACUUGAAUUCUCCUUUGACAGCUGCUAAUGAUCUGCCAGGGCAAAGGCUGGAUUUGAAACUGAUUGCUAUCAAUAUUUACAUCUGGGAAUGCAUCUGAAUGUCACGGAGCGUUUAGGAAAUUGGUUGUCAGAGGAUUGCAGCAGAGGUACCUUGCAGGAGAGAACACAGCUUUAGAGACCCUUUCUUCAAAAGAUGGGAUGAAGUAUCUGUGGCCUUGCAAGAAGGACGUCAGGAUUUGGUAACCACGCAAGGGAGGCAUUCCUACAUACUGGGCAUGCUAGCUCCAGCCUCCCAUCAUGGUUUCCCCAGGCCUAGGGGAAAGGAGGGACAGCACCCUGUGGUCCUGUUACCUCCUAGGGCAUGGCAGCUGCAUUCAGUCAUGUGUUGACCAGGGUACAUCUCCCUUUGCUUGUGCAAAUCAGGCAAGCAAAGGGAAAUGUACCCUGGUCAACACAUGACUGAAUGCAGCUGCCAUGCCCUAGGAGGUAACAGGACCACAGGGUGCUGAUGGAA